CACUUGGUUAUCAAGAGUUAACCAGCACAGAAGCAGAGCCCUUGAUUAACUUCAAGGUUGCCCCAUGCCUUAUCAUGUGUGGAGGCAUUGUCCUCAGCUUAUUUUAAGAAGGAGCAAGAAAGAACAUCCAGGAAAACAAUUCAAAUAUAUGAUGCCUAAGAGAAAAAACUGAUUAAUUACGCUGUCAUCAGCUGGUUCCUGCUAGUAUAUAGAGUGCUUAAAUAAUAAAAAUAUAAUACAAAGAACAAA